rnacentral:tRNA from 1 species
AGUGUUUAGGCGCAGUGGUUGAGUGUUUGGCUACUAACCAAAAAGCCAGCAGUUCAAAUCUAUCAGCCACUC